UACGGAGGGUGCGAGCGUUGUCCGGAUUUAUUGGGCGUAAAGAGCGUGUAGGCGGCUUGGUAGGUCCGCUGUGAAAACUCGAGGCUCAACCUCGAGACGCCGGUGGAAACCAUCAGGCUAGAGUCCGGAAGAGGAGAGUGGAAUUCCUGGUGUAGCGGUGAAAUGCGCAGAUAUCAGGAAGAACACCCGUGGCUAAGGCGGCUCUCUAGUACGGUACUGACGCUGAGGAGCGAAAGCGUGGGGGAGCGAAACAGG
rnacentral:rRNA from 1 species